UAAAAACUGCAGUAUUAGUUAGUUGCAGAUUUCUAUAUAAUGAAGGUAAGACCUAAUGUUCAUCAUCAUAGCCUGCUGACUGCUGUACAAGACUGUGUAAAACACUGUUUCCCAAAGUGCCAGUUCCACACUUGUGGAAUAACAUACUUCCAAAUCUUUAUGAAAACAGUGAACUUCACUGAGCUAAACACAACCAUAAUUAGAAGUAUUGAGCUAGGGUUUCAAAGUCUAAGUACAAUUAAUUAUGUGGAUUUAUUUUGUUGAUGAUCUCCAAGGACAACUUAUUUCUACAAUACAGUGUGAUCAAUAACUGUCAAGAGUAAUUAUAAAUGAUGAUUUUCUAAUUACCAAUUACCGAAACUGAGUCAGCAGUCAACUACUGUAUCCACUUAAUGAGGGAAAAACCCACUACAUAGCCUGGUAUGCCCUGAUGUCACAGUCAGAUACAUGGAUGGAAAGUGACAGCCAUACAACCACUUUUGGUGAUCAAGGUUCACGGAUAAAAUGCUACUGCUGUAAACAAACUCUGCUUGCUCUGUAUGGGGGGAAAAAAAAAAAAGGGAAAAAAAGGAAGCAGAGAGAAACAAAACAAUCAACUUAUGAUUUCCAAAGGAGUCUGUAAGAGUAUGACAUCCCGACACUUCAGAUUUGACUGAUGUCUUCCACUUGAAUAAUUUCAUCAAAAUCUAACAGUGGGCACAAAGAGAACUUCCAGAUAAUACUAUUGCUUUCUAACCCAGCUGGCUGCUGCAUGUGUUACAUUUUUAAUUAUCUUGAAGCCACCCAGAAGCCAUUUCUUUACCAGCACAUAAACGGGAGAAGGUGUUGCCUCAAGCCUGCUAUCUCUGAAGUCAACAGGAGAAAAAACAAUAAAUCUUUACAUAUUUUG